AAACUGGGCAUUUUCAGCUCUCAUGAUCUCAGUUGCUGCUUCCCCAGUCCUGUUUGUGCCUAACAAGCUUGCAGUUCAUCCUAGAGCACUUCUGGACCCCAGGGUUUCACUACAAGGACAAUUUCCUGGAAGUUCAUGAAUUUUUCAGGCAGCUUUCAUCACUAACCUUCCACUUCAAUUUGAAGAGAAUGGCAAGAAAACAGCUGAAAGGGGAUCAGGAAACUUUGCACUUUUCCCAAAUGGUAUCAACCUAUGGCUACCUAAAAC
rnacentral:lncRNA from 1 species